rnacentral:rRNA from 1 species
UACGUAGGACCCGAGCGUUGUCCGGAUUUACUGGGUGUAAAGGGUGCGCAGGCGGGUAGGUAAGUCAGAGGUGAAAGUCUGCAGCUUAACUGUAGAAUUGCCUUUGAUACUGCUUAUCUUGAGUGUGGGAGAGGUUGAUGGAAUUCCAGGUGUAGCGGUGAAAUGCGUAGAUAUCUGGAAGAACACCAGUGGCGAAGGCGGUCAACUGGCCCAUAACUGACGCUCAGGCACGAAAGCGUGGGGAGCAAACAGG